CCCCUACGGGGCGCAGCAGUGGGGAAUAUUGGGCAAUGGGCGCAAGCCUGACCCAGCAACGCCGCGUGAAGGAAGAAGGCUUUCGGGUUGUAAACUUCUUUUAAGAGGGAAGAGUAGAAGACGGUACCUCUUGAAUAAGCCACGGCUAACUACGUGCCAGCAGCCGCGGUAAUACGUAGGUGGCAAGCGUUAUCCGGAUUUAUUGGGUGUAAAGGGCGUGUAGGCGGGAAUGCAAGUCAGAUGUGAAAACUAUGGGCUCAACCCAUAGCCUGCAUUUGAAACUGUAUUUCUUGAGUGCUGGAGAG
rnacentral:rRNA from 1 species